rnacentral:rRNA from 1 species
GACGAACCGAGCGAACGUUGUUCGGAAUCACUGGGCUUAAAGGGCGCGUAGGCGGGUGCUCAAGUCUGUGGUGAAAUCCUCCGGCUCAACCGGAGAACUGCCAUGGAUACUGGGCGUCUCGAGUGUGGUAGGGGUAUGCGGAACUAUCGGUGGAGCGGUGAAAUGCGUUGAUAUCGAUAGGAACUCCGGUGGCGAAGGCGGCAUACUGGACCACUACUGACGCUGAUGCGCGAAAGCCAGGGGAGCAAACGGG